rnacentral:rRNA from 1 species
GUCUAUGGCCAUACCACCCUGAUCGCGCCCGAUCUCGUCUGAUCUUGGAAGCUAAGCAGGGUCGAGUCUGGUUAGUACUUGGAUGGAAGAAGGUUCAAAGGGCUACAGAGG